GCAGUCGAACGAGAAAGCACUUUCGGUGUGAGUACAGUGGCGGACGGGUGAGUAACGCGUAGGAAUCUACCUAGUAGUGGGGGACAACUCGAGGAAACUCGAGCUAAUACCGCAUACGCUCUUAGGAGGAAAGUGGGGGAUCUUCGGACCUCACGCUAUUAGAGGAGCCUGCGUUAGAUUAGCUUGUUGGUGAGGUAAAGGCUCACCAAGGCGACGAUCUAUAGCUGGUCUGAGAGGACGAUCAGCCACACUGGAACUGAGACACGGUCCAGACUCCUACGGGAGGCAGCAGUAGGGAAUCUUGGGCAAUGGGCGAAAGCCUGACCCAGCGAUGCCGCGUGUGCGAAGAAGGCCUUAGGGUUGUAAAGCACUUUCAGUCGUGAAGAAAAGCUACGAUUUAAUAUGUCGUGGUCUUGACGUUAGCGACAGAAUAAGUACCGGCUAACUCCGUGCCAGCAGCCGCGGUAAUACGGAGGGUACGAACGUUAAUCGGAAUUACUG
rnacentral:rRNA from 1 species